AAAACUUUUACUGGAGAGGGUUAAACAUAACGAUUGGGCAAGGUUUGUCUGUCUCCUUGUCCAGCUUGCUUUUUAAAGCAAAAAUUCCCCUGACAGGGAGUACUUUUAAAUUUCAAAUCCUUUAGGGGAUAAUUGGCCAGACUGCUCGGCAGGAGCCACAGCAAAAUCCAAGCAGGCAGCUGUGGGACUGCUAUAGCCGGCCCUUUGCUCGGGCCUUUCUGAGCAGGAAGCGAGUCGCUCGCUGCCCCCGGGUGCGGGCGCGCAGGACCAGCAGCUGCCCCCAGCCACGGGCGCGCCACCUGUUUCCGCCUGGGACUUCCCCCAGCCGGCUCCGAAGUGUGGAGUCAGCAGCUUGGCCUGGCCCGGCAUCAGGGGCCCAGCGCAGCCCUACCCCACCGCCGCCUCCCGUGAGGCCCCGCCUGGAAGAGGCGUGGACUGCACCCUGGUGCGCGCGUUCUGGGCUUGGCCUUGAAAAUCAGGAUGGCGAUGACCGCUGAGCAGUGAUUGUCUUGGUGAUAUGUGGGAAAUGAAGACAGAGGUGGCUUGUGGCAGGAGUGGAAGCAGGCAAACAAGCUGGAAGACUAUUGUCAAAAUCCAGUUAAGAUGAUACAGACUUGGAUCAGGAGACGGAAUCUCGCCAAGUUGCUGUGUUGCCCAGGCGGGGCUUGAACUUGAGAUCCUCCUGCCUCAGCCUCCCAGAAUACAGGGAUAACAGUUGUGUGCCAC
rnacentral:lncRNA from 1 species